rnacentral:rRNA from 1 species
UGCGGGGGGAGCAAGCGUUGUUCGGAUUUACUGGGCGUAAAGAGCUCGUAGGCGGUCUGUCGCGUCGGCUGUGAAAACCCGGGGCUCAACCCCGGGCCUGCAGUCGAUACGGGCAGACUAGAGUGCGGUAGGGGAGACUGGAAUUCCUGGUGUAGCGGUGAAAUGCGCAGAUAUCAGGAGGAACACCGGUGGCGAAGGCGGGUCUCUGGGCCGUAACUGACGCUGAGGAGCGAAAGCGUGGGGAGCGAACAGG